rnacentral:rRNA from 1 species
UGGCCUUGCGCCGGCGAUGGUUCAUUCAAAUUUCUGCCCUAUCAACUUUCGAUGGUAGGAUAGUGGCCUACCAUGGUGGCAACGGGUAACGGGGAAUUAGGGUUCGAUUCCGGAGAGGGAGCCUGAGAAACGGCUACCACAUCCAAGGAAGGCAGCAGGCGCGCAAAUUACCCAAUCCCGACACGGGGAGGUAGUGACAAUAAAUACUGAUACGGGGCUCUUUUGGGUCUCGUAAUUGGAAUGAGUACAAUCUAAAUCCCUUAACGAGGAACAAUUGGAGGGCAAGUCUGGUGCCAGCAGCCGCGGUAAUUCCACUCCAAUAGCUAUUAUUAAAGUUGUUGCAGUUAAAAAGCUCGUAGUUGAACCUUGGGUCUGGCUGGCCGGUCCGCCUCACCGCGAGUACUGGUCCGGCUGGACCUUUCCUUCUGGGGAACCUCAUGGCCUUCACUGGCUGUGGGGGAACCAGGACUUUUACUGUGAAAAAAUUAGAGUGUUCAAAGCAGUGCCUUUGCUCGAAUACAUUAGCAUGGAAUAAUAGAAUAGGACGUGCGGUUCUUAUUUUGUUGGUUUCUAGGACCGCCGUAAUGAUUAAUAGGGAUAGUCGGGGGCGUCAGUAUUCAGCUGUCAGAGGUGAAAUUCUUGGAUUUGCUGAAGACUAACUACUGCGAAAGCAUCGCCAAGGAUGUUUUCAUUAAUCAGGGAACGAAAGUUAGGGGAUCGAAGACGAUCAGAUACCGUCGUAGUCUUAACCAUAUACUAUGCCGACUAGGGAUCGGGCGGUGUUUCUAUAAUGACCCGCUCGGCACCUUACGAGAAAUCAAAGUUUUUGGGUUCUGGGGGGAGUUGGUGU